GGUGUGAGCUGGACCGUGCAAAUACACACAAUCUCGUAUAAAAACAAUGUAUAGAAACACAAUUAACAACAAGUUUCAAAUGGCUAGAUAGAUACUGCAAUGAUCUUAUCAAUCUCAGCUGCAGAAUCAUAGACUAUAGUUGGUCCCCACUCUUUCAUGUAUUGCAGCCAGCACGGCUCUGAAACCGCUCCUUCCCCUAAAUCUCAGCUGCUACAAUUCUAUACCUUUGACUAAAAUUCACCACAUACUUGCUUUUCCCAGCAUCAUUUCUCACUCCAAUUCCUAGCUUCGACGAGCCUUGAAGAUACAAUCCAGGGUGAAGAAAACUCGCGUGUCCGUGUUUCGACGAGUACGUACCGGUUUGUUGCUUCCUUUGACAAACUCAAGCUCCGACGCAUCAACCUGUGUUUCGACGAGUACACAAC
rnacentral:lncRNA from 1 species